CUAAAACUUACUCUAAUUUAGAUUUGCGUAAUAAAUUUUGAUGUCAAUAGACUCACCUCGCGUGCCCCAUCCAUCUAAGCAUAUUACUUAUUACACAACAUGUCCGGAAUUGCGGGCCGCAGAUGUUCCUGAUUAGCCGCAAGGGCGGCACUCUGCUGGCCAUCAACAACUUUCUCUAUCGCUCCAAUCUCAAGUUCUUUGGCAAGAGCAACAACAUUCUCUACUGGGAAUGCGUACAAAAUCGUUCUGUGAAAUGCCGCAGCCGCUUGAAGACCGUGGGCGAUGAUCUCUAUGUAACAAACGAUGUGCACAAUCACAUGGGGGACAAUGUGCGCAUAGAGGCGGCCAAGAUGUCUGGUUUGCUGAUACACAGAAAACUGAGUUCCCUCACAUCCGCUGACCGCUUGCAGGGUUCGUGGAAGAUGGAAGACGAAGCCGCCGCCACGCCCGACCAGUAACCAUGUCCAUGUCCGUUUUAGACAUUCCCUUAUCGUCCAACAUCAACUAGAAUUAAGCUAUUGUUUCCGCAAAGCCGAGCCUAUUUAGCAUGGAUAAGGAUCGAAGAUGACUACAAAGUGCAGUUGCCGCUGCCGCAGCUGCAUCCCCAACAGCCGCUUCUCAAGCGGAAGUCAGUCUCUGGCUCAGUGAAGAAGCAAAGCUUCAACCACCUGGACGUAUGCUUCACGCGCAGCAAUCGGGGUAACAAUCUGCUCACCAUAGACGGCAAACCCUUUACGCUAAACCGUCGCAUCAAGGAUGCCUGCUACUGGGAGUGCGUCAAGUUGCGUUGCAAAUACAUCAAGUGUACAGCGCGUGUGGUAACCAAAUCAAAUCAGAUCUCGGCACUGCGCGGCCAUCACAAUCAUCCCUAAGUCGGAGUCCCUGUGCCAUCUCAUUUUUAGUCGAAUAAAACGUUUUUCUGUUGUAACAAAAUGCCAUUUGUAGCUUCUGUAUAGUCUCGUCUAGCAUUCUGGAGGCUUAAAUCCGUUUAAUAAUGCCUCGAACUC